CGGAAGUUCAUGAUUAAAAUGGCGGGCGGGGACAGGGAAAAAAUUUCGGCAUGUUAUUAUCAAAUCUGUUCAAUUUUUCUGAAAUCGUGCUUAAUUAACAUUAGUUGUUCGGCGCUACGAUGUUGUUCAAAUACGUACAUUACAGAAUCACAUUAUGAUUAAACCAGAAACGGCUCGACUUGAACCAGCAGAUAAGAAUCUGUUUUGAAAUUAUGUCUUGGGAGGUUGGAUUGGAUUGGCGGCCAUUUUGAUUCUUGUUUCAUGAUUUUUUAUAUUAUAAAGAUUUUGCCAAGAGUAGACAUAAACGCGGGCACAGACUAGAAAAAAUCUUUUUACACUUUUGUGUUAGUUGAAUUGUAAUCUAAUUUAUGUUUAAAAAAACAACCUUAAAUCAAAUAAGCAGAUAUUUUCCCCAAACCCUCCGUUCAACCUCCGACUCUGUCACUCUGUGGAAUAUUAUUAGGCCCCUAUUUUCCUGAUUCAGUCACAGUUAAUAAAUAAUAAAUAAUGGAACUAGAAUCAGUCUGUGGAAGUUUCUCUAUAGUUUCAUUAUUUUUCCCAGUCAGUGAUGAUAUGACUCAUUCCACCUUACAGUUACAGCAAUUACCGUAUUGAGAAUUUACCGUUCAAGGACUCCAUUUUGGCAUUGAAUUGGAAUUUGAAGAAAAACUGUUUCAAUAUUGGAUGUAUAUGCAAAUCACCCAGGAAAAGAUCAUGUAACAAAAGAAAUUAUAAAAGUAAAAAAAUGGAAGAAGAAAUGGCUGGAAAAAAUGAUGAUAGAGCAGCUUUUUCUUGUUAGCCACCUCGGAAGAUCAAGACAGCUGGAAAGGGCUAUUGAUAUUGUGGAAGUGUUUUCUUACAGAGGUUGCUUAUCAGACAAAGGCUAUUUAACUACAUCAGAAAGAUAAAAACAGUUGGAAAUGGCUAUUCAUAUUGUGGAAACUUUUCUCACAGAGCUUGAUAAUCAGGCAAAAUGCUGGAACACCCUUGAAAGAGUAUUUGGUGUAUGAUAACAACAAGAGAACCCAAGCAUCAAUUUAUUUUAUACUUCUGGGAAAGAAUGCAUUUGACCCAAUUUUUAAAUAUUUAUUUUUUGUUAUUAAUGUUAAAUUUUCUUCCAAAACACAAUUAGAUUUUAAUUCUCUUCAAAUAUGUAUGUAUAAUAUAGCAAGUAAACUGACAUAAAUCACUUAGAAUUUGGUCGGAAAUCAUAAAGUAUUUAAUAGGCAUUACUAGAAACCAAAUGUAGAUCAAAUACACCCAGAAUUACAAAAAACCUUGACCUACAUUAAGGUGACUUUCCCUUGCUUAUGAAAUGAAAUACGUUUUAAUAUCCUGCUUUUCUGUGUUCUUAGAGUGAUUCUACCCUACCCUUAUAUCAAAUAUUUCAACUGUCAAGGGUUCUUUAAAGGGUACCCAGGGGGGCCGAAUGGUUAACACGCACACAUUUGAUCAGAAGGUCUGUCAUUGAUUCAAAUAAUUCAAUUUUCAAGGGUUCUUCAAAGUGUACGCAGUUGGGUUGGUUUCAAUUCUGGGGGGUGGGGUGGAUGGCCGAAUGGUUAGCACGUGCAUGCUGUAUCAUACGGCCUCCUGUCAUUGAGUCAACUGGCAUGGUUUCGAAUCCCCGGUUGUAGACAAGGAGUAGGGUCGCCUGUCCAAUCUUGUGGGUUUUCUCCGGGACCUCCGGUUUCCUCCCACUGCUAAAGACCCCUACGAGCUAGCGAAUUAUUGAAAUAAAAUUAAACCAUAUGUUAGUCCCAAAAUGAUCUAGUUUGUGUCGAGUAGACGUUAAACCCCAUUUCUCUCUGUCUCUCUCUCUUUUGAUUCUGGGCUUGUACCCAAUUAUCCCUUGCCAUAUCCAACACUGAAAAGUGGGAACUAUGCCGGAAAAUCCAGUUGAAAUUUCGCGGCCAACGCCUUAUGCUCACUGAACCACUGUGGCUUAUGACUUGUGAUUGUAUAUAAAUCUUUUGUACAUAUGAUAUUUUUUUAUUUCAAUCCUGUAAUCUUGAUGCUUAUGACUUGUGAUUGUAUAUAAAUCUUUUGUACAUAUGAUAUUUUUUUAUUUCAAUCCUGUAAUCUUGAUGCUUUUAUUUAUAAAAUAUUCAUUUUGUUUGGGUUUUUUUUAAUGAGGAAAAGGCUCUACAUCAUUUUAUUACUCCUGCAAAAUAGAGCAAUUUUCUUUUGUUAGUUUUCUGUGUAUGCUAGUUAUUUCUAGAUGCCUCACAAAUCACUUGUAGUGUGAUUUUGUAGCAUUUUUCAGUUUUUGAAAUUGUUUCAAUUUAGUGCAUAAUUAAUCUUAUUAGUACUUAGUUUGGAUGUUAUUAAAUUUAGAUAUAUUUGAAUUAUAUAUUUUGGGGUAUGGGGUAGGGAUACUGUGUACAUAUCUUUAUAUUCUCAGUUCUUGUUUUGGGGUAAAGAACAAUUUAAAUAGCUAUUUUAUAUUUUGUGAUGGGUAAAGUGUGUGGGGCAAAAAACAAUUUAAAUAGCUAUUUUAUAUUUUGUGAUGGGUAAA